rnacentral:rRNA from 1 species
AUUGAACGCUGGCGGCAUGCCUUACACAUGCAAGUCGAACGGUAACGGGCCUUCGGGUGCCGACGCGUGGCGAACGGGUGAGUAAUACAUCGGAACGUGCCCGAUCGUGGGGGAUAACGAGGCGAAAGCUUUGCUAAUACCGCAUACGAUCUACGGAUGAAAGCCGUGGACCGCAAGGCCUUGCGCGGACGGAGCGGCCGAUGGCAGAUUAGGUAGUUGGUGGGAUAAAAGCUUACCAAGCCGACGAUCUGUAGCUGGUCUGAGAGGAUGAUCAGCCACACUGGGACUGAGACACGGCCCAGACGCCUACGGGAGGCAGCAGUGGGGAAUUUUGGACAAUGGGCGCAAGCCUGAUCAAGCCAUGCCGCGUGCAGGAUGAAGGACUUCGGGUUGUAAACUGCUUUUGUACGGAACGAAAAGCCUUCUUUUAAUACAGGAGGGUCAUGACGGUACCGGAAGAAUAAGCACCGGCUAACUACGUG